rnacentral:rRNA from 1 species
CAGUCGCCGCGGUAACACGGAGGAUCCAAGCGUUAUCCGGAAUCAUUGGGUUUAAUGGGUCCGUAGGCGGUCUUGUAAGUCAGUGGUGAAAGCCCAUCGCUCAACGGUGGAACGGCCAUUGAUACUGCAGGACUUGAAUUAUUGGGAAGUAACUAGAAUAUGUAGUGUAGCGGUGAAAUGCUUAGAGAUUACAUUGAAUACCAAUUGCGAAGGCAGGUUACUACCAAUUGAUUGACGCUGAUGGACGAAAGCGUGGGUAGCGAACAGGAUUAGAUACCCCCGUGUCCCUGUCUCUUAUACA